AAACUAAUUUAGUUUGGCGGCAUUUCAUCUAUUUAGAGGAAUUUGUCCUUUAACCGAUAAUCCACGUUAAAUUUUACUUCAAUUAAAAAUUUAUAUACCGCCAUCUUAAGAAUUAAUUAAAAAAUAUUCCUCUAAACAACUCAUAAAAAGUUAGGUCAAGGUGUAAUCUAUAUUAAAGAAAUAGAUGAAUUACAUUAAACACUAUUUAAAGAUUGCUAAUAAAUAUAUAAGCAUAAAUAAGGAUUUAAAAGUAAUUUAAAAAUAAUAAUAAUAUAUGAUAAAGAUAAUAAAUGUGCACACAUCGCCC
rnacentral:rRNA from 1 species